UACAGAGGGUGCGAGCGUUAAUCGGAAUUACUGGGCGUAAAGGGCUCGUAGGCGGCCAACUAAGUCGGAUGUGAAAUCCCCCAGGCUCAACCUGGGAACUGCAUCCGAUACUGGAUGGCUUGAAUUCGGGAGAGGGAUGCAGAAUUCCAGGUGUAGCGGUGAAAUGCGUAGAUAUCUGGAGGAAUACCGGUGGCGAAGGCGGCAUCCUGGACCGACAUUGACGCUGAUGAGCGAAAGCUAGGGGAGCAAACGGG
rnacentral:rRNA from 1 species